CAUCCCAUUUUGGUACCAUUCAUUCAGUCCACCAAAAAUUAGUGGCUUUGCUAAUGGGUGAGAGUAACUUGUCAUUGUCUGAAGAGGCAGUGACCCAGCUUUCCUAUAUGAAGUGAUGGGACGUUAACCA